CAGGGUCAUAAACAUAUCUAUACUUAUUAUCCCUUUUUUUCUAAUGAGCUUCCUUUCGACUGAUCAGCAUCAAAGGGAAUACCCACAACAAUUGAUCAGCAUCAAAGGGAAUACCCACAACAAUACAUCAAGAUAUUACCUGAAAUACACUAAUAAGCAAACACUAUUUGGUUGGAAGAUAGAAAAAUCAAUUCCAAGUGCAGUACAUAAGUCCCGAUUGGCCUUUAUGUGAGUUACUCUAUUCCAUUCUGCUAUGACUACUUUGAUAUCUGCAAGCGCAUAAUGAAGCACUCCAUCAUCAGGAAUGAUGAUAUUGGAUUGCUCAACCUAAGCUUUUGCCUUUCUUGGAUUUCUUCUGGAGUUGGAAGCAAAAAUGGCCACCUGUGAAGAACAACUGGUGAGACAAAACGUGGUUAAAGUUUUGCCCAAGACAAGGAUUCUCAAAUAUUAGAUUCUAAACACCUGCUUGAAAUAGUAUCUUAUCGUAUUUUGGCAGCAAGUCUUGAUCAAAGCAUGUAAGCAGUGAAGCAAAUCAGAUGGUAGAUUGUUUAGCUAAUGUAUAGGAUGCUAACAACAGGAUAUCUUUUAUUACGAUG